UUUAAAAGCAACUGUAUUUGUCAGAGUCCAGUCAGGGUAACUGAAACUACUCUAAGUCUUUUAACAGAAAGAAUUUAAUAUAAGAAACUGGUUUCAUCAGUGACAGAAGAAACCUAGAGACCAAACAGGUGAUGUUGAAGCCACCAGAGAUCAGCAACAACAGACAGCUGCUACCCCUCUUAGGAAUCAAGAGACAACAGGAGGCAGUGGUGUGACCACGGCCAGGAGCUGGCGAUGUCAGGCUGGAACUGAAACCAGAGAAGGGCUAAGUGGCCAGAACUGGGACCUGAGAGUGGCUGGGAGCUGGAAUCACAGAGAAGAUGCAGCUGCUGCUAUAGUGAAAGAGAGAAAUGACAUGGCUUCUCUUCUUCCUGCAUGUCCUUCUCCCACCAGUAUCUCCUGCUGGCCAAACCUACCCAGAGGCCAGGUGCAAGGAAGCCUUGGAAAUGGAAAAUACAGCAGAGCAGGGGCUGGGGGGUAUGCUCUCUGAGAGCAAACAGGCAAAGGACCAGCCAUGCCAUCAUCCAAUAACAUACCAAAACUGCCGAGAUCAGUGUGAGCAGCUGCAUCCCGCCAUGUCCAAGGGUAAUGUAAUGCUCUCUGGCCUGAUCCUGUCAUAUGUGAGCUUGUUUUGACGAACCUUGGCUUACAGAAGGAAACAGCCAUCCUCAUCAACUAUUUGAAUCCAGGCCCACACACAUGCCUUUCCCAGGUCUAGUCCACUGUCUUCUGUCAGCCCAGCUAGCUCAGCCCACCCUAGCUCAGCAGCGGAGGAGAUCAGAAAAUGCAUCCUGGCAUCACAGGAAGGACCGGAGUAAAAGGUUUAAAAAGAGAUGGAAACAGACAAGAGCCACUUGGAAACAAAUUGACUUCACCUCGGACCUGGCAGGCUAGGACGGCAAAGGCCUUGUGA